rnacentral:lncRNA from 1 species
GGAAGCAUUCACAUGAAAUAUUAAGAAGCAUUCCGCUUACAGUAUUUUCUCUCAAUAAAUUAAAUGCAUCUUUGUCACGCCAAACUCUACUACGUUUCCCAGGGUCCUCAGGUGAUUCUUGACGAACUAUUUCUCUUCCCAUGUCUCUAAGUAAUUGAUGGAUUAUCAAUUUGUUGCCUUCAUUAAUUGUUAAAAGACACCUACCAAUAAGAUUGUUAAUUCCAACAACUGCAUAGAAUUUACAGCCUUGUAGUAUACUAAUUACAUAAUUUUUUUCCAUUCCAGUGAAGAAACAAGCUAUGUCAAGGAACAGAUUUUUAUCAUGAUCAUCUUCUAGAGAGUCAUAGCUUACUCUAAGAAUCUUUUGAAUUUUACUGUCAGGAACCGCUUCCAACUUUUGCAAAGCACUUUCCCACACUUCUAUGCUUUUGCCUGAAAGAGAAGAGCCCAGAACUUGAAGAGCUAACGGAAGGCCACUACAAAGAUCCACAGC